GACGUCGGAAAUAGCUAGACUCCAGUCGUGAAAAUUAAAAAUGUUUGAAAGAAUGAUUUAGCCAGGGGUUGAAGAGGGGGGGGCAAGAAGAGGGUGCCAGCAACCGCGGUUAGACCACCCGCCCCGAGUUAAUGUGAUAGCGGCCUAAAAGAUGGUAAAYCGACAAUUAGGGGUAGCUUAGUGAGGGGUUUACAAAUCGGGUUGAAUCGAGUAAACCGAGAUCCGCUUUGGAGAUAAGCAGGGGGGUGAAGGCCAUGUGACCUAGGCAAAGGACCAGGAUUAGAUACCCUGUUACUCUAGGCGUUAAGUACAAGCCAGCUUAGUGGUUUUGCCGGGCAACUACGUUCUAACGAGUAAAAGUGGUCGUACGGCCCGGGCUGGUAUCUCGUCUCGUGAGACUUGACGGUUAAUCCGAUGAUCCGCGUUACACCCUACCCGUUUUAGCGAGUGGUCCUACAGUUGGUGUAUGGUCGUUGUCAGCUCUUGUUGUGAGGCGCUGAGGAAUGGAAGCAUAAUUCGUUGGAACCGCUAGUAUUAUGAGGGGGUGGACUGUGGAACGCAGUGUUUAGAACGAGUGAAGUCAGAUCGUUAUGCCGCCAAAAAAUGGGGCUUAGUUGAGUCACAUUGAUUAGAUCAAACGGAAACUCUCUUGAAAUAGGGGGUGGAAGAAGGAGUGAGUAGUAGUAGGGAAAUAGUACGUCUCUACGAAUAGUAAAUUCUUAAGUGUACAGAUCGCCCGUCGCCUCCGGGGAGACUUGGAGAAAGUCGUAACAUAGUAGGAAUACGGGAACGUGUGUCCUCAGUUAGAGAGAGAGAAUGACUACAGGGUAAGGGGGGAUUUACCUCCGGUGUUGAUUGGUUCAAGCUGUAGGGUUGGUGUGUUUGAGGUUUUUGGGUUGUGGGUCUGUCGUGGGUAGACUAUAGGCCUUGAUGGUUUAAUUACCGAG
rnacentral:rRNA from 1 species